UACGUAGGGUGCAAGCGUUUAAUCGGAAUUACUGGGCGUAAAGCGCGCGUAGGCGGCCUGCUAAGUCGAACGUGAAAUCCCUGGGCUCAACCCAGGAACUGCGUCCGAUACUGGUUGGCUUGAAUCCGGGAGAGGGACGUGGAAUUCCAGGUGUAGCGGUGAAAUGCGUAGAUAUCUGGAGGAACACCGGUGGCGAAGGCGACGUCCUGGACCGGCAUUGACGCUGAGGCGCGAAAAGCCCAGGGGGAGCAA
rnacentral:rRNA from 1 species